GUCACGUGACGUGCGUGGGGACGUGUCGGCCAUCUUGUGUUGUUGAGGCUGAGGACUGACUUGGGUUCUGAGAGACUCCCUGUCCCGGACCGCAGUGUUAAAAGGACCUGAAUAAAGUCUGCUCAAACCUCCUGCUGUGAACCAGCAGAACUUUUGAACAGGUUUCUCCUCAAAUAAAAAUCUAUUGUAAACAUACGGAAAAGAAUGGCAGCGGAAACGCAGACGCUGAACUUCGGGCCUGAAUGGCUCCGAGCUCUGUCCAGUGGUGGGAGUAUUACAUCCCCUCCUCUUUCUCCAGCAUUGCCGAAGUAUAAAUUAGCAGACUAUCGUUAUGGCAGAGAAGAAAUGUUAGCACUUUUCCUUAAAGACAACAAGAUACCUUCAGACCUUCUGGAUAAAGAAUUUCUGCCUAUCCUACAGGAGGAACCCCUGCCGCCAUUGGCUCUUGUACCCUUUACAGAAGAAGAACAGAGAAACUUUUCCAUGUCUGUAAACAGUGCUGCUGUCCUGCGACUGACAGGACGAGGAGGAGGAGGAACAGUGGUGGGGGCUCCUAGAGGUCGAAGUUCUUCAAGAGGGCGAGGCAGAGGCAGAGGUGAAUGUGGUUUCUACCAAAGAAGCUUUGAUGAAGUAGAGGGUGUGUUUGGUCGAGGAGGUGGCAGGGAAAUGCAUAGGUCGCAGAGCUGGGAGGAAAGGGGUGAUAGACGUUUUGAAAAACCAGGGCGAAAAGAUGUAGGGAGACCAAAUUUUGAGGAAGGUGGGCCAACAUCAGUGGGAAGAAAGCAUGAAUUUAUACGAUCAGAAAGUGAAAAUUGGCGUAUUUUUAGAGAGGAACAGAAUGGAGAAGAUGAAGAUGGAGGUUGGCGACUAGCUGGAUCAAGGAGGGAUGGAGAGAGGUGGCGGCCUCACAGUCCUGAUGGCCCUCGUUCUGCAGGCUGGCGGGAACACAUGGAACGGCGGCGAAGGUUUGAGUUUGAUUUUCGAGAUCGGGAUGAUGAACGGGGUUACCGAAGGGUGCGCUCCGGCAGUGGAAGCAUAGAUGAUGACAGGGAUAGCUUGCCUGAAUGGUGCUUAGAGGAUGCUGAAGAAGAAAUGGGCACGUUUGACUCAUCUGGAGCAUUCCUGUCUCUAAAGAAAGUACAGAAAGAGCCUAUCCCAGAAGAGCAGGAGAUGGACUUCCGGCCUGUAGAAGAAGGGGAGGAAUGCUCUGAUUCUGAAGGUAGCCAUAAUGAAGAAGCCAAAGAACCCGAUAAGACAAAUAAGAAGGAAGGAGAAAAGACAGACAGAGUAGGAGUUGAAGCUAGUGAGGAAACCCCCCAAACCUCCACCUCAUCUGCUAGACCAGGCACUCCUUCAGACCAUCAGCCUCAGGAGGCACCACAGUUUGAGAGGAAAGAGGAACCCAAAACUGAGCAAAUGGAAAAAGCUGAAGAAGAGAGUCGGACAGAAAAUAGUCUAUCAACCAAAGUACCCAGCAGGGGGGACGAAAUGAUUCCUGGUGUCCAGCAGCCCCUGUCACAGAUUCCUUCAGAUACAGCCUCUCCUCUUCUCAUCCUUCCACCUCCUGUUCCCAAUCCUAGUCCUGCCCUCCGGCCAGUUGAAACGCCGGUCGUAGGUGCUCCUGGUAUGGGCAGUGUUUCCACAGAGCCAGAUGAUGAAGAGGGUCUCAAACAUUUGGAGCAGCAAGCUGAGAAGAUGGUGGCUUAUCUACAAGACAGUGCACUAGAUGAUGAGAGACUGGCAUCAAAACUGCAAGAGCACAGAGCUAAGGGAGUCUCAAUUCCAUUGAUGCAUGAAGCAAUGCAGAAGUGGUAUUACAAAGAUCCUCAGGGAGAAAUUCAAGGUCCCUUCAAUAAUCAGGAGAUGGCGGAAUGGUUUCAGGCGGGCUAUUUCACUAUGUCUUUGUUGGUGAAGAGAGCAUGUGAUGAAAGCUUCCAACCUCUUGGUGAUAUCAUGAAAAUGUGGGGAAGGGUUCCUUUCUCUCCUGGACCAGCUCCCCCUCCUCAUAUGGGAGAGUUGGACCAGGAACGACUGACCAGGCAGCAGGAACUCACAGCCUUAUACCAGAUGCAGCACCUCCAGUAUCAGCAGUUCUUAAUACAACAACAAUAUGCACAAGUUCUGGCUCAACAACAGAAAGCAGCACUGUCUUCCCAGCAGCAGCAACAGUUGGCACUUCUUCUCCAACAGUUCCAGGCACUGAAGAUGAGAAUAUCUGAUCAGAACGUCAUUCCCUCAGUAACUAGGUCUGUGUCAGUGCCAGAUACUGGUUCUAUCUGGGAACUCCAGCCAACAGCCUCACAGCCUACAGUUUGGGAAGGUGGUAGUGUAUGGGAUCUUCCCCUUGACACCACAACUCCAGGACCUGCCCUUGAACAGCUUCAGCAGAUGGAGAAGGCCAAAGCUGCAAAGCUAGAGCAGGAGAGAAGAGAGGCAGAAAUGAGGGCAAAACGGGAAGAGGAGGAUCGAAAGAGGCAAGAAGAACUCCGGAGACAACAGGAGGAAAUUCUUCGGAGACAGCAGGAGGAAGAAAGGAAAAGGCGAGAGGAAGAAGAGCUUGCCCGAAGGAAACAGGAGGAGGCUCUGCGACGCCAGAGGGAGCAGGAAAUUGCAUUACGGCGACAACGAGAAGAGGAAGAAAGACAGCAGCAAGAAGAAGCUCUUAGAAGACUGGAGGAAAGGAGAAGAGAAGAGGAAGAAAGGCGGAAGCAGGAAGAAUUAUUACGCAAGCAGGAAGAGGAGGCUGCGAAAUGGGCCCGGGAAGAAGAAGAAGCCCAGCGUCGAUUAGAGGAGAACCGGCUGCGAAUGGAAGAGGAGGCAGCCAGACUCCGGCACGAGGAGGAGGAACGGAAGAGGAAAGAGCUGGAGCUCCAGCGGCAGAAGGAGUUAAUGCGCCAGAGGCAGCAGCAGCAAGAGGCUCUGCGGAGGUUGCAGCAGCAACAGCAGCAGCAACAGCUGGCGCAGAUGAAGCUUCCCUCUUCUUCAACGUGGGGCCAGCAGUCCAAUACGACAGCAUGUCAGUCCCAGGCAACGCUAUCUUUGGCUGAAAUCCAAAAACUAGAAGAGGAACGAGAACGGCAACUUCGAGAGGAGCAGAGGCGCCAGCAGAGGGAACUGCUGAAAGCUCUCCAGCAGCAGCAACAGCAGCAACAGCAGAAACUCUCAGGGUGGGGGAAUGUCAGCAAACCGGCAGGUACUGCAAAAUCCCUUCUGGAGAUACAACAGGAAGAAGCCAGGCAAAUGCAGCAGCAGCAACAGCAGCAGCAGCCCAGCAGAGCCCGGAAUAAUCCGCAUUCCAGCCUGCACACCAGCCUUGGGAAUUCUGUUUGGGGCUCUAUAAAUGCUGGUCCCCCUAACCAGUGGGCAUCUGACCUAGUCAGUAGUAUCUGGAGUAAUGCUGACACUAAAAACUCCAACAUGGGAUUCUGGGAUGAUGCAGUGAAAGAGGUGGGACCCAGGAAUUCAACGAACAAAAAUAAAAACAACGCCAGUCUCAGUAAAUCUGUAGGUGUGUCUAACCGGCAGAAUAAGAAAGUAGAAGAAGAAGAAAAAUUGCUGAAGCUCUUUCAGGGAGUAAAUAAAGCCCAAGAUGGAUUUACCCAGUGGUGUGAACAGAUGCUUCAUGCCCUUAAUACGGCAAAUAACUUGGAUGUUCCCACAUUUGUUUCUUUCCUGAAAGAAGUAGAAUCUCCUUACGAGGUCCAUGAUUACAUUAGGGCCUAUUUAGGAGACACCUCUGAGGCCAAGGAGUUUGCCAAGCAGUUCCUUGAGCGCCGCGCCAAACAGAAAGCCAGCCAGCGGCAGCCGCCGCAGCAACAGCCGCCGCCGCAGCAGCAGGACUCUGUGUGGGGGAUGAACCACAGUGCACUCCAUUCAGUAUUUCAGACCAAUCAAAGCAACAACCAACAGUCCAAUUUUGAAGCUGUACAAAGUGGCAAGAAGAAGAAAAAGCAGAAGAUGGUCCGAGCAGAUCCGAGUUUAUUAGGGUUUUCAGUCAAUGCUUCAUCGGAGCGACUCAACAUGGGUGAAAUCGAGACUUUGGAUGACUACUGAGCACCUGCCAGAGCGGACUGGCCUUCCCUCUUUUCUCUGCUGACCAUGGAUUCUGCACCUUUGGACACGACACUUAACUCACCAUAUACUCUUUAUCACUGCAACAAAUCACAGAACCGAUCAUCUCAGGCUUUUUCUUCCAGCCCUUUGUGUCCAAGAUUCUUUAAACCAUUUUUGUUGAACAUCACCUGGAAUUGCCAAUCACACUUUGGUCUGGAGCCUUUGGACCGUCCGUCCCUGUGCAAGAAGUGCUGUGGUUCGGGUGGCUCCUGGUAGAGCGCCUUUUCUUUCUGUCAUCAUUGCCCGAAGAAGGCUGGAGUUGCUCUGAGAGCAGUUUGGUUUUGGAUGAUUAUUGGUUUCUAUUUUUAUUCUUUUGGAUCACCAUUCUCCCUGUCCCUUUUUGCCUCCCUCCCUCUUAAACAUGUACAAUAACUAUACAGAGACUGCUACAGACUUGUACAUAGUUUUUGGAUCAAAUAGCAUGAGGAGAUGGGGAACCAUUAAAAAUUGGGGCUCCUGCUCUCCUUUGCUUUGUAAAUUCAAAAGUGGGGGGUGGGGAAGAGGGAUAGUUAAAAUGUUUACAAAACUUUAAGCUCCCUCGGAACUUUUGCCAGUGUGGAGGAAAAUAAAAAGGAACUUAAAUAAAA